GAGAGUUUGAUCCUGGCUCAGGACGAACGCUGGCGGCGUGCCUAAUACAUGCAAGUCGAGCGGACAGAUGGGAGCUUGCUCCCUGAUGUUAGCGGCGGACGGGUGAGUAACACGUGGGUAACCUGCCUGUAAGACUGGGAUAACUCCGGGAAACCGGGGCUAAUACCGGAUGGUUGUUUGAACCGCAUGGUUCAGACAUAAAAGGUGGCUUCGGCUACCACUUACAGAUGGACCCGCGGCGCAUUAGCUAGUUGGUGAGGUAACGGCUCACCAAGGCAACGAUGCGUAGCCGACCUGAGAGGGUGAUCGGCCACACUGGGACUGAGACACGGCCCAGACUCCUACGGGAGGCAGCAGUAGGGAAUCUUCCGCAAUGGACGAAAGUCUGACGGAGCAACGCCGCGUGAGUGAUGAAGGUUUUCGGAUCGUAAAGCUCUGUUGUUAGGGAAGAACAAGUGCCGUUCAAAUAGGGCGGCACCUUGACGGUACCUAACCAGAAAGCCACGGCUAACUACGUGCCAGCAGCCGCGGUAAUACGUAGGUGGCAAGCGUUGUCCGGAAUUAUUGGGCGUAAAGGGCUCGCAGGCGGUUUCUUAAGUCUGAUGUGAAAGCCCCCGGCUCAACCGGGGAGGGUCAUUGGAAACUGGGGAACUUGAGUGCAGAAGAGGAGAGUGGAAUUCCACGUGUAGCGGUGAAAUGCGUAGAGAUGUGGAGGAACAUCAGUGGCGAAGCGACUCUCUGGUCUGUAACUGACGCUGAGGAGCGAAAGCGUGGGGAGCGAACAGGAUUAGAUACCCUGGUAGUCCACGCCGUAGACGAUGAGUGCUAAGUGUUAGGGGGUUUCCGCCCCUUAGUGCUGCAGCUAACGCAUUAAGCACUCCGCCUGGGGAGUACGGUCGCAAGACUGAAACUCAAAGGAAUUGACGGGGGCCCGCACAAGCGGUGGAGCAUGUGGUCUAAUUCGAAGCAACGCGAAGAACCUUACCAGGUCUUGACAUCCUCUGACAAUCCUAGAGAUAGGACGUCCCCUUCGGGGGCAGAGUGACAGGUGGUGCAUGGUUGUCGUCAGCUCGUGUCGUGAGAUGUUGGGUUAAGUCCCGCAACGAGCGCAACCCUUGAUCUUAGUUGCCAGCAUUCAGUUGGGCACUCUAAGGUGACUGCCGGUGACAAACCGGAGGAAGGUGGGGAUGACGUCAAAUCAUCAUGCCCCUUAUGACCUGGGCUACACACGUGCUACAAUGGGCAGAACAAAGGGCAGCGAAACCGCGAGGUUAAGUCAAUCCCACAAAUCUGUUCUCAGUUCGGAUCGCAGUCUGCAACUCGACUGCGUGAAGCUGGAAUCGCUAGUAAUCGCGGAUCAGCAUGCCGCGGUGAAUACGUUCCCGGGCCUUGUACACACCGCCCGUCACACCACGAGAGUUUGUAACACCCGAAGUCGGUGAGGUAACCUUUUAGGAGCCAGCCGCCGAAGGUGGGACAGAUGAUUGGGGUGAAGUCGUAACAAGGUAGCCGUAUCGGAAGGUGCGGCUGGAUCACC
rnacentral:rRNA from 1 species